rnacentral:rRNA from 1 species
AUUGAACGCUGGCGGCAGGCUUAACACAUGCAAGUCGAGCGGGGAAAGGUAGCUUGCUACCUAACCUAGCGGCGGACGGGUGAGUAAUGCUUAGGAAUCUGCCUAUUAGUGGGGGACAACAUUCCGAAAGGAAUGCUAAUACCGCAUACGCCCUACGGGGGAAAGCAGGGGAUCUUCGGAACUUGCGCUAAUAGAUGAGCCUAAGUCAGAUUAGCUAGUUGGUGGGGUAAAGGCCUACCAAGGCGACGACCUGUAGCGGGUCUGAGAGGAUGAUCCGCCACACUGGGACUGAGACACGGCCCAGACUCCUACGGGAGGCAGCAGUGGGGAAUAUUGGACAAUGGGCGAAAGCCUGAUCCAGCCAUGCCGCGUGUGUGAAGAAGGCCUUUUGGUUGUAAAGCACUUUAAGCGAGGAAGAGGCUACUUGGAUUAAUACUCUAGGAUAGUGGACGUUACUCGCAGAAUAAGCACCGGCUAACUCUGUGCCAGCAGCCGCCGUAACAC